CCCCCGCCGCAAGUGGAUAAUAUUAAUAGUGUAAAAAUAUGCAAGUGUUCGGUAAACAGGAAGUUGUCGAGUGAUGAAUCUGAAAACGCAUCACACGGUAUAGCUGACUUAUAUAAAUCCUGAAACCAAAUUUCAGAAAUCCUUGUAUUGUAGUUCCUGAGAAAAAUGUGACGAAAAAUUUUCAACUUGGCUAUCAUGUGUAAAAUCAUACAAGUGUUCGGUAAACAGGAAGUUGUCGAGUGAUGAAUCUGAAAACGCAUCACACGGUAUAGCUGACUUAUAUAAAUCCUGAAACCAAAUUUCAGAAAUCCUUGUAUUGUAGUUCCUGAGAAAAAUGUGACGAAAAUUUUCAACUUGGCUAUCAUGUGUAAAAUCAUACAAGUGUUCGGUAAACAGGAAGUUGUCGAGUGAUGAAUCUGAAAACGCAUCACACAGGUAUAGCUGACUUAUAUAAAUCCUGAAACCAAAUUUCAGAAAUCCUUGUAUUGUAGUUCCUGAGAAAAAUGUGACGAAAAUUUUCAACUUGGCUAUCAAGUGUAAAAUCAUACAAGUGUUCGGUAAACAGGAAGUUGUCGAGUGAUGAAUCUGAAAACGCAUCACACAGUAUAGCUGACUUAUAUAAAUCCUGAAACCAAAUUUCAGAAAUCCUUGUAUUGUAGUUCCUGAGAAAAAUGUGACGAAAAUUUUCAACUUGGCUAUCAUGUGUAAAAUCAUACAAGUGUUCGGUAAACAGGAAGUUGUCGAGUGAUGAAUCUGAAAACGCAUCACACGGUAUGGCUGACUUAUAUAAAUCCUGAAACCAAAUUUCAGAAAUCCUUGUAUUGUAGUUCCUGAGAAAAAUGUGACGAAAAUUUUCAACUUGGCUAUCAUGUGUAAAAUCAGACAAGUGUUCGGUAAACAGGAAGUUGUCGAGUGAUGAAUCUGAAAACGCAUCACACGGUAUGGCUGACAUAUAUAAAUGUUGAUACCAAAUUACAGAAAGGGUGGAUGUGUAGUUCCUG
rnacentral:lncRNA from 1 species